ACCGGGCCCAGGGUGUCCAUUGUUCUCUCGAAGCAACUGAGAAUUGUGGAUAUUCUUCAUUAUUCCAUCAUCAUCUCAAACCUCUUGGGUAUAGUGUUUGACUGCUACUGUGACCAUAAAUUCCAAUAAAACCUAGGAAAAAAUGAAACCACUACAUUAACUGAAAGGAAAGCUCAAGUGAUAGAAAUAACACAGGACAGGAAGUAAGACAGUUCUCGUCUGAAGUUCUUCUCUGACAGCCCACAAACUAGCUAAUAUGCCAGAGUUAAUGAACACCUGAAUCUGCAAAUAUGAUUUGAAUAGGAAAGAAUGGGCAGAUACAAGACAUAUUGUGAGGGGAAUCUGAGGUUUGAGUAAAAGAUUUCUUGCCAUCCUAAAGGAAAAGAGUUGAGAUGAAGGAAUGAGUCAUAAAAUUAAUAUGAAGAUUUUUACAUCUACAGUCUUAAGAGUAAUCGGAUUUUGAAAAUUUGACCAAAAUAUAGGCCUCUUCAGCCAUCAGAAGGACACU
rnacentral:lncRNA from 1 species